UGAACAGCGGCAAUCCUUCACGGUUGAAGUCCAACAAUGCCUGAGCUGUCUUGGUUGCAGAAUCUGGGAACCACACUUGUCCAGCCCGAGGAACAGAUCGCUCAUGGGAAUCAAGCUGGCCUGGAUCAGCAGGGAUAAGCUGCAUCAUGGUUUGUGUCUCCACAGCUAUGACACCAACAGGAAUUCCUCCAAGCUUUGCUCUGCCCGUAACCACUGUUUUCGCCCAUCCUUCAAAUGUCUCGACAAAGCUGUCUUUGUCAAACAUACCACCCAACCAUUUCCCUUGGCUGUCAUCUACACCACGAAUGGCUGCGCGCGGAUCACAUGUGUUCUCAGGGAUGUAUGCAACAGGUCUGUCUGGUGGGUCCAAAGGUUUUGUAAUAGGAAGAGGUCCACCAAUGUUGGCAGGAACAUAGCUGAGCCACCUCAAUAUAUUGGAAACACCUUCAAGGUCAUCUGAAACAGUCAAGUGGACAACACCAUUGGUCGCCAUGAUCUUAGGACCACCCAACUGCAUGUGGGAGCUGUACACUUCCCGCCCAAGAAGCUUGUUCAGGGCAGAAAACCCAGUUAAAAUAAUAGGCUGGUCAAGACGCUGUAU
rnacentral:lncRNA from 1 species